GAAACUGAGAGUAAUACCGUAUACGCCCUUCGGGGGAAAGAUUUAUCGGAGAUGGAUUGGCCCGCGUUAGAUUAGAUAGUUGGUGGGGUAAUGGCCUACCAAGUCUACGAUCUAUAGCUGGUUUUAGAGGAUGAUCAGCAACACUGGGACUGAGACACGGCCCAGACUCCUACGGGAGGCAGCAGUGGGGAAUCUUAGACAAUGGGCGAAAGCCUGAUCUAGCCAUGCCGCGUGUGUGAUGAAGGCCUUAGGGUCGUAAAGCACUUUCGCCAGGGAUGAUAAUGACAGUACCUGGUAAAGAAACCCCGGCUAACUCCGUGCCAGCAGCCGCGGUAAUACGGAGGGGGUUAGCGUUGUUCGGAAUUACUGGGCGUAAAGCGCACGUAGGCGGAUCAGAAAGUUGGGGGUGAAAUCCCAGGGCUCAACCCUGGAACUGCCCUCAAAACUCCUGGUCUUGAGUUCGAGAGAGGUGAGUGGAAUUCCAAGUGUAGAGGUGAAAUUCGUAGAUAUUUGGAGGAACACCAGUGGCGAAGGCGGCUCACUGGCUCGAUACUGACGCUGAGGUGCGAAAGUGUGGGGAGCAAACAGGAUUAGAUACCCU
rnacentral:rRNA from 1 species